UUCUGUUGGAUUAAAGAAGAGCAUGUAGCCAUUUCUUUAAACAGCGACAUGUGACUACAAAUGAAAAUGAAAUCAGAAGAUUUUACACUCUUGUCCCAUAGUGACAAUGACCAACUGGCUGGAAGCAAGUAGAGGCUGCCUCUUAAGACAGGAAAACAUUUUAACCCUGCUGUUCCCAUGAUGUCACAAGGACUAGAGUGUUGGGGAGGACUGAGAGCACACUCUUCCUCUGGAGUAUGUUAGACUCUAAGGGUCCAUGACACAGGAGUGGGGAACAUUUCAUUCAUCGAGGAUUGAGCCUCUCGUGCUGGGUGUUGAAAGAAACACCAGUGACGUCCCCGUGUAUUCACGUGGAGUAUCUGACAGUCAGUCAUUGCAGGAUUACAGAAGGAAGGGCAGUUCAGAGGGGAGGCCCCGUGGAGGCAGGCAUGGAGGAGCGCGUGGUGACUGACACCGAGAGCUUGUGACCCGGGCAGGUGGCAGACUCUGUUCGGUCAGAAGACUCUGCCGACUGCAGUGCGUAGAAAUCCACGUCCGUCCACGGGAAGUCGCAGGACGAGAACACCGCUGACAGGAAGUCACCUGUCAGAGCGUGCGGCACGAGUGGUGAGAAUGUUGAGUCUGAACCAAGGUCGUGGUGUCACAGUGGUGGAAAGGCCACUGGAGGUGAAAGAAGCAGACCCAGAGUCAUUUCCAAGAACAAACUGGAAGGUUUAUGGGACCAAUUAGGCAGAGAUCCUGAGGAGGAGAGGUGAAGAUGUGCAGUGGUUUCCGGCCAGGAAGAAGAGUGUUCCAUGGACGGUGAGGACAGAUGCGUGCUGGGCUUCUCUGAGGGCUGGGAAGACGCACGGGGAGCUUGAUUUUAGACAUGACACAAGUUCAGUGAUGGUGCUCAACACACAUGCGCCAAGGCGUGUCUCUCACACACACACAGCCUAAGAACAGAGUCCAUGAUCAUGGCACAGCCAGAGUGGGCACGACACUGUCGCCACUGACACAGGCAGGGUGAGGGGGUUGGGCCUGUCAGGUGUUCUGAGGAGAAGUCGGCCGGCCUGAGAGUGCUGGAAGGUGCUCAAUUCUCAUCAAGAGGAGGGCCGGUUUCAGAGAUGAGAAGAGAGAGCUGGAGAGGGGAGAGCAGAGUCAGGAAAGGGCGGUGAACCAUGAAGCCGAGCAAGGAGGGUCCCUGUGGGGCCACACGUUUCCCAGAGGCCUGAUAGGGUCAGAACGUUAGGGGCUUCCUCGGAGAUCUCACUCUCCACGGAAUGGUGAGCGCAGAGGUCAAGGGCAGGAUGGAAUAAGGGAUG